UUUAUAGUUGCAAACGACAACUAUGCUCCGGUGGCUCAGGCUGCGUAACGCAGUUUGAACAUCGAAAUUCAAGUCCUCGGCCUUAGCAGGCUCUAGGCGGGGUUUGGAGGGCACCUGGCAACAGAAGCCCUCCGCU
rnacentral:tmRNA from 1 species